GACGAACGCUGGCGGCGUGCUUAACACAUGCAAGUCGAGCGGUAAGGCCCUUUCGGGGGUACACGAGCGGCGAACGGGUGAGUAACACGUGGGUGACCUGCCCUCAGCUCUGGGAUAAGCCUGGGAAACCGGGUCUAAUACUGGAUAUGACUCCAUGACGCAUGUUGUGGGGUGGAAAGCCUUGUGCGGCUGAGGAUGGGCCCGCGGCCUAUCAGCUUGUUGGUGGGGUGANGGCCUACCAAGGCGACGACGGGUAGCCGGCCUGAGGGGGCGACCGGCCACACUGGGACUGAGACACGGCCCAGACUCCUACGGGAGGCAGCAGUGGGGAAUCUUGCGCAAUGGGGCGAAAAGCCCUGACGCAGCGACGCCGCGCGAGGGAUGACGGCCU
rnacentral:rRNA from 1 species